AGGAGGCUGCGGGCUCCACUUCGCUCAUUUGCUAGUAGCAGCGGUGAGAGGCGGGUAGUAGCUGCGCUGCAUUUGCCCUUCCCCCUUCUCGGCCUCUGGUCCCCGGGCUUGGGUGCCCGACUGUCGCCUCUACGGAGCCAGCGACUCUUCUGCGGUCUCAUUACACGGCCUGGAGCUUCCACCUUUCUGGCCUAAAGGUUGGGGCCCGCUUCGGCGUCUAUUCCCUGGCUUGAGGGGCCUCCCAGGCCAAAUCCGCUACCGACUCUCCUGAUCUGUUCGCCAGCUUUCUCCUCUCAGUCCCGCCGCCCCUCGGGGGCCUCUGCCCGCCAUGAGCUACGGGCGCCCCCCGCCUGAUGUGGAGGGCAUGACUUCCCUGAAGGUGGAUAACCUGACCUACCGCACGUCUCCAGACACGCUAAGACGGGUCUUUGAGAAGUACGGGCGGGUGGGGGACGUCUACAUCCCCCGGGACCGCUACACCAAGGAGAGCCGCGGCUUUGCCUUCGUCCGCUUCCACGACAAGCGCGAUGCCGAGGAUGCGAUGGACGCCAUGGACGGCGCAGUGCUGGACGGCCGGGAGCUCCGCGUGCAGAUGGCCCGCUACGGGAGGCCUCCGGACUCCCAUCACAGCCGCCGGGGGCCGCCGCCGCGCCGCUACGGAGGUGGCGGCUAUGGACGCCGCAGCCGCAGCCCCAGAAGACGCCGCCGUAGUCGAUCAAGGAGCAGGAGCCGCUCUAGGUCCCGCAGUCGAUCCCGCUACAGUCGGUCCAAGUCCAGAUCUCGCACACGCUCCCGAUCUCGCUCCACCUCUAAGUCUAGGUCUGCCAGGAGAUCCAAAUCCAAGUCGUCAUCCGUCUCUAGAUCCCGAUCCAGGUCGAGGUCCAGAUCCAGGUCUAGAAGCCCCCCACCAGUCUCAAAGAGGGAAUCUAAAUCCAGAUCCAGGUCUAAGAGCCCCCCAAAAUCUCCCGAAGAGGAAGGAGCUGUAUCCUCUUAGGAAAAUGGUAAUGUAGUUGGAACUCUAUGCAGUUUGCAUGUUACUUCAUAAUAGCCCUUAAGUGGGGUGAAUCGGGGUAGUUCUUACGAUAUUAACAACCUGAAUCAAGUGACUGGUAAUGGGAGACACUGUUACCUUUUUGAGCAGACUUUUCAGUUAUUCAGCUAGGGAAAUAAUUUUUUGCAGAGGACAUAUUUUUAUGUUUUGUGAGAUUAAUGGUUUGGUUUUAAUGAAAUAUUGUAUGAGACACAACCUAUUAAUGAAAAUGACUAUUUCUUGCUGUUUUUUAUCCAACAUCUGCAUUUUCCCCUUUAAAGCUGCGGUCUCCUGUUUGCUAAAAGAAUAUUGGCCAGUAUUGCAGAUUUUAACUGAUUUGGCUGAUCCUCCAGGGACCAGUUUCUGUGGGCGUGUAUUGGAGCAGAUGCAUCAGAUAAAUGAGAAAUCUACAUAAAGAACGCCUAUGGGGGGAAAGAUCCUAUGAAUCUUCAGUCCAUUGGAGAGACCCCAGGCACAAGCAACCAGCUGUUGAAAAGGUUAUUUUGUAACAUUUUUGUCUAACUUUUUACUUGUUUUAAGUUGAGCCUCAAAUGGCAGACUUUACAUUUUAUGUGCCAUUUUGUUGCUGUUAUUCAAAUUUCUUGUAAUUUAGUGAAGUGAACGACUACCGAUUUCAUUAUUGGCUUGGAUAUUUGAGGUAAAUUUUCAUUUUUGUUUAUAUAGUGCUGGCUUUUGUUUGACUUAAAAAAAAAAAAACUGGUGGUAACUUAAUUUGUUGCCUCAAGUUUCAUGUUGCGUAAACAUGCAGCCAUUACAUGCUGAGUAACUGACUGUCAAGGAAGUGUUCUCAAUUUGCCUUCGUUCCUUAAAUAAAAUUCUGCAAAACUUCUUCAGAUGUAAACUUCUUGUAAAUGCUAUUUACUUUGAAUUUAAAUAGUAUUGUCUAUUCCAAAUUUGUAUAAAACUUUUCAGGUGACAGUUGAUUUUGAAAGGAUUGUUUUAUCAGACUCAAUUCUAAUCUCUUCUCUUAUGUAUUUUUGUGCACUAGGCGCAGUUGUGUAGCAGUUGAGUAAUGCUGGUUAGCUGUUAAGGUGGCGUGUUGCAGUGCAGAGUGCUUGGCUGUUUCCUGUUUUCUCCUGAUUGCUCCUGUGUAACGAUGCCUUGUCGUGCAGAAACAAAUGGCUGUCCAGUUAAUUAAAAUGCCUGACAACUGCACUUCCAGUCACCCGGGCCUUGCAUAAAAAUAAUGGAGCAUACAGUGAGCACAUCUAGCUGAUGAUAUACACACCUUAUUUUUUCCAGAAUGGUAAAUCUUUUACCAACUACUUUUAUGAACUUGCAUAUAAGAAAUGUAAUGUUAAGAGCAAAUGUUUCAUUCCUUUGUAAGUACUGAUUGGUGUAUCUUUUGCUUAUGACAUUAUGUACUAUAACCACUGUCCCUGUAGUUACUAUUAAACAUUUUUCUUGGUGUUAACUUUUCUCAAUCUAAUGUCUGAGUCAGCAUUUAUUUUUAGCUUAUAAAGAUCUCAGCAAUUGUGAAUGUUUGUUUUCUUUUCAGUAACUUAUUACUGUCUAUUGCUUUUAAAUUGUAUCAAUAGGGAGUAGCUGUUUCAGUAGUAAGUUUAGUAUAUCAUCUUAGUAACAAACAUUUCUUUUUGAACAAUACAAACCUUAAAUGUUGACUGUGUAGGCAAGGUGUCAAGUGGCAGAUCUGGUUGCUUGAAGUCCUGUUAGUUCAUUAUUUGUUCUUUAACAACAGUACUUGUUGGAUUUGGCUUUGUGCCAGCUUAAAAGUGAAGGUAGCUAAUCUUGUGAGAAGUAAUGGUAGUAUUUUUGAGCUAGACAGCAAUGGAAUUGUAAAUGCAACCUGCAAACACUACAUAGAAAACCAUCUGUUUAUCAAAAUACUGCCUCAGUGCACUUCUAAUUGAAAGUCUUGAUUACCUAAUCUUCAGACUUAAUAGGGAUAUGAGUAUCAGAGGGCUUGUCUACACUUGUAAAGUUAAUGCAGUCUUGAAAGUGCUUAUUCUAAAUAGAAACAAGGUGCACUUGUUCCAGAACAAAUGUCAACAAUGGAAGUAACUUUGUGUAGACCUGCCCCAAAAAAUUGUCUAUAACUAAUACUAAGAUGUCUAAAGUAAAUUGUGAGCCACUAUACUAGAACUUUGUUCCAGGAAAAUCGUACUAUUCAUAUAAUUACAUCUUACUAAAUACAGAAAGGGUGACUGCAUAAAAUGAACAUUGUUCAGACCCUUAAAGUUAAAUUGUUAAUUCACGAUGUUUAGCUCUUAAGCUGGAAAACAGGUAAGAAAUAGUAACUUUCAGGCUGAAUAUGUAAUUGUCAAGUCCCUAACUUGACCUAUGAAGAAUACCACAACCUGGCCAUUAUAAAUAGUCAGUAUGGUAAGCUAGAGUAUGUAGACGUGAAUGUUUUGCCAGAAUUGGUUUGUUUCUUUCUCCUAUACCUGUGAUGCAAUUGAAGUAGAUGUAAAAAUCCAAUUAAUUUUAUUCUCUAGGUGUGAACACAACUUUUUAGAAAAGUCAUAACCAAACACUUCCAACAGAUCUUAUUCAUACAAUGCAAGAUAAGAUUAAAUUGUUUAAAAUUGUACUAAUUAAUAUACCUGCUUUCACAAGAAUUACCCCAAAUGACUUUAGUAGCAUGGAUCGGUGGAGGAAAUGCAUUCUGUUUUGUGAUAACCAAAUGCUUCCCCUGUCUCUUGAUCAAGUGGAAUUUAUUUUCCCCCAAACAAACAGCAUUUCCAUCCAAAACUUGCUUGAAGUGGCGUGCAGUCAGUUUUCUGAGGUACUUCCUUGAAUUAGAACCAGCAACUGGCAGAAAUUUACGUGUAGCUCGCUCCUGCUAGUGAAAUGAUCAUCAUUUCAAUGGUAUGUCUUCCUGGGAGAGGAGAGGAAGCCAACUGUUCCUUGUCAGCAUUAAAAGACCGUAAGGGAACAUGGACAUUCUUCAGCUUCCAUUUGUACAGCAAAGCUUCAAUAGACCAGUCAGAACUGAAGGAAAGAAAUGUCAGAUGGACUGUUUUGAUAAAAGUUCAGUGCUUGUUCUGUCAUUAAACUACUGUGCAUGAACAAGCACAGUAACUAUAGAAGAGUGACAAAUUUAAAAUACAAAAAGCUUAACUGCACAGCUA